GAUGAACGCUAGCUACAGGCUUAACACAUGCAAGUCGAGGGGCAGCAUGGUCUUAGCUUGCUAAGGCCGAUGGCGACCGGCGCACGGGUGAGUAACACGUAUCCAACCUGCCGUCUGCUCUUGGACAGCCUUCUGAAAGGAAGAUUAAUACAAGAUGGCAUCAUGAGUCCGCAUGUUCACAUGAUUAAAGGUAUUCCGGUAGACGAUGGGGAUGCGUUCCAUUAGAUAGUAGGCGGGGUAACGGCCCACCUAGUCUUCGAUGGAUAGGGGUUCUGAGAGGAAGGUCCCCCACAUUGGAACUGAGACACGGUCCAAACUCCUACGGGAGGCAGCAGUGAGGAAUAUUGGUCAAUGGGCGCAGGCCUGAACCAGCCAAGUAGCGUGAAGGAUGACUGCCCUAUGGGUUGUAAACUUCUUUUAUAAAGGAAUAAAGUCGGGUAUGUAUACCCGUUUGCAUGUACUUUAUGAAUAAGGAUCGGCUAACUCCGUG
rnacentral:rRNA from 1 species